rnacentral:rRNA from 1 species
CAGCAGCCGCGGUAAUACGUAGGUGGCAAGCGUUGUCCGGAAUUAUUGGGCGUAAAGGGCUCGCAGGCGGUUUCCUAAGUCUGAUGUGAAAGCCCCCCGGCUCAACCGGGGAGUGUCAUUGGAAACUGGGAAACUUGAGUGCAGAAGAGGAGAGUGGAAUUCCACGUGUAGCGGUGAAAUGCGUAGAGAUGUGGAGGAACACCAGUGGCGAAGGCGACUCUCUGGUCUGUAACUGACGCUGAGGAGCGAAAGCGUGGGGAGCGAACAGGAUUAGAUACCCGAGUAGUCCCUGUCUCUUAUA